GAAACGACUGCUAAUACCGCAUAAGCCCACAGGUCGGCAUCGACCAGAGGGAAAAGGAGCAAUCCGCUUUGAGAUGGCCUCGCGUCCGAUUAGCUAGUUGGUGAGGUAAUGGCCCACCAAGGCGACGAUCGGUAGCCGGACUGAGAGGUUGAACGGCCACAUUGGGACUGAGACACGGCCCAGACUCCUACGGGAGGCAGCAGUGGGGAAUAUUGCACAAUGGGGGAAACCCUGAUGCAGCGACGCCGCGUGGAGGAAGAAGGUCUUCGGAUUGUAAACUCCUGUUGUUGAGGAAGAUAAUGACGGUACUCAACAAGGAAGUGACGGCUAACUACGUGCCAGCAGCCGCGGUAAAACGUAGGUCACAAGCGUUGUCCGGAAUUACUGGGUGUAAAGGGAGCGCAGGCGGGAAGACAAGUUGGAAGUGAAAUCUAUGGGCUCAACCCAUAAACUGCUUUCAAAACUGUUUUUCUUGAGUAGUGCAGAGGUAGGCGGAAUUCCCGGUGUAGCGGUGGAAUGCGUAGAUAUCGGGAGGAACACCAGUGGCGAAGGCGGCCUACUGGGCACCAACUGACGCUGAGGCUCGAAAGUGUGGGUAGCAAACAGGAUUAGAUACCCUGGUAGUCCACACCGUAAACGAUGAAUGCUAGGUGUUGGAGGAUUGACCCCUUCAGUGCC
rnacentral:rRNA from 1 species